ACGAUGCCCGCCUACUGGCGCCCUAGCAACCGGGUUGCGAACCAUGUUCUAUCCCGACUAAGUGGCCGUCCUGGGAGUUAUAGUGCCACUAGCCGGCCUCGGCUGUUCCCUGUCCGAGGCUCUUGUCAUUUCCGCUUAUUUCCUCCACGGGUGCCGAUUUCAUGUGUGUGUUCCCGAGUGCCUGAGCCGGCUCCCGAAAUGAGUACUCGUGGUUUCCGCGUGGGAACCAACCUCGAGCGCCAGUGGCCCGCCCUCUCCGGGCUGAGGUGGCUGCUGAGGCUGGGGCUGCUCCUGAGGCUUCAGGGCCGCCCGCUGCACGGCUUUCUACCUUCCCAGGUUAGCCGCGGUCAACUUCUGCCAGGCGGAGCGAGAAAUCGCAUUUUGUCAGAAUUGUCUUUGCUGAUCUCUUUAUUAUGAUGAAAAUUCUCUGGAUGGAAGGGUCAUCAGCUGCCGUCUCCUUUGCUACUCUGCUAGAUAUCCUUACAAUUUGGUUUAGAAUUUUAGUACCACUAACAUUUUUUGGUGCAUAUUUUGGAAAUAAAGAAAAGGUAAACUCUUAAAAUA
rnacentral:lncRNA from 1 species